rnacentral:SRP_RNA from 1 species
GCUGGGCUUGGUAGCGUGAGCCUGUAACCUGAGUGGGAGCAUUAAGAUGGUGGAACAAUUGGCCUUGCCCUGAAGGUUGGGCUUCGUGUGCUAUCUCUUCUGGCCUACCCGUUCCAAGUGGUGAGUUGACUGAGGAGUCUCAGUGAAGGCCAAGGCUUCUCUGUCUUUAGAUCGGAGGGUACCGCGUUAGGCUGGCUUCACAGAGCAGCGAAAACCUCCUCCUCUUUGCAGGAGACGUUAUGCCAUGGAACCGUGUUCACCAUGAAUGGUGAACACGGUUCCAACGGUGUUAGUGCACCGUUAUCUUC